rnacentral:lncRNA from 1 species
CAAGGACUCAAGAUCAUGAGAUUAGCAAAUUUCCAAAAGGGAUCUGUCGCAGUUAAACAAGUCUGCUUCACCACCGCCAGUUUCGGUGCCAUGAUUGCAUUUGGCAAUGGGCUAAAGGCCCUAGGCAUUCAUUCUGCAACAAUUCAGGGAGGUAGACAGUGAGUGGACUCCAAAUGGAGCCAGGGAGCCCCCAGUAAGCAGGAAGAGAGGUGCAUGGAAGACACAAGCUUCUGGGGACUUGAGGGGAGGGACAGACCAGAGUGUGACAAGGAGUCUGCCCCACAACAGCGCCAGCAUCCUGACCUGAGCACGGAGAGACCCUGGACUAGGAACAAGGCGCCUCAACCCGGCACAACCUCCCGACAAGCUGGCAACUCCAAAUGAAUGUCAAGUAUUUGCGAAGCAAGAUGGCAAAUGCAAAACAUCAUCCAUGAAGUCUUCAGGAAAGGAACUCAUGGAUCUCCUUUUAAUCGUAAGAAGGUUCCCAGACAUUUCUUCAUGGCUCACCUGUGUAGUCCAAGUCAUAGAUCGAGAAUCUACAGGAUUUAAGUGGCAAAUGUCAGCAUAUUUAUAAAUGGCUUUGGUAGAAUCAUGUUUUCAAACAUGCUUUUGCUCAUAAUUCUCUGUUAAGUGACAAGACCAUCACCUUCCUGUAAAUUAGUUCUUCCAGACCAUCUCAGUUUAGCCAGGUAACAACCACUGAAUGUUCACAAAACAUCCUUUGUGAUUGACUUCUGAAGUAUACACCAAACAAGGAAGAGCAUCCAUGAUCCAUGGAGCCCCUGUAACCAGGCAAAUCUGUGCCAGCUACUAAGCACUUGAGAGAAACGUGGGAAAAUCUACUGUUGGGAAAGACAGAAGAAGAAAACCCAAUUCCAGGAUCCACUGGUUCAUGCUUCAACAUGUCUAGGUAAUCACCAGUUCUCCAAAAAGUACAGACAAUGGGCACAAAUGAAUCUUCAUCUCCCUUUAUCCUUUUCUAGCCUGAGGACAAUGGAUGAUUAUGACCACUUCUGUCUGGAACUUAUAAUCACUCUGACUUUUCAUCCAUUCAACAAAUUUUAUUGAGCUUCUGCUCUGUUCUGGGUACUAUGUGGGGCACCAGAAAAGAGCAUUUAAAUAAGACCUAGUCCCUGACUUUGGAUUUCUCACAGUGAGAUGAAAGAGGUAGGCAGGUUAUAUUUAAAGUCAGGGCUAACAGAGCUUUGGGCCCUCUUUGAAACUAUGGGAUAUAUGUUGUCCCCAGAACCAGGGUCAGAAUGAAAAAUAAACAGGAAUUCCCAGCUGCAAGGUUUUACCAAACAAUCCUCUUUACCCAGGACAACAGUUAAUCUUUAAUAGGAAAAACAGGAAGCAUCCUA